UAUCGUCAGCAAACUUGCUGAUAUAGUUUUCAAUGCCCUCAUCUAAAUCAUUGACAUAAAUCGUAAAGAGCUGUGGUCCCAAUACAGAGCCCUGUGGUACCCCACUAGUCACCUCCAGCCAGUCUGAGAAACACCCAUUCACUGCUACCCUUUGCUUUCUAUCUGCCAACCAGUUUUCUAUCCAUGUUGAAACCCUGCCCCCAAUGCCAUGAGCUCUGAUUUUACUCACCAAUCUCCUAUGUGGCACCUUAUCGAAUGCCUUCUGAAAAUCUAGGUACACAACAUCCACUGGCUUACCCUCAUCUAACAUCCUUGUUACACCCUCAAAAAACUUAUGGAUUGAAGACUAUGCUACGUGAACGCCCUCAGGCAAAGUGGGCUGGUUGAGGGAGGGAUUGCAUCACCCUCAACCUGAUUGACAUCUGCGACCAUUAGAUGUUGUGUAAUUAGAUUAGAUGUUGUGUAAUAACCCAGAUCUUAUUAGGGAGCUUAAUGUAAAGGAACCCUAAGAUAACAGUGAUCAAAAUAUGAUUGAAUUCAUCCUACAAUUUGAGAGGGAGAAGCACAAAUUACAUAAAUCAGUAUCACAAUGGAAUAAAGGGAGUUACAGAGGCCUGAGAGAGAAAUUUGUCAGGGUGGAAUGAAAGGUUGUACUGGAAGGGAUGAUGGCAGAGCAGAGACAGCUGGAGUUUCUGGGAAUAUUCACAAGGUGCAGGAUAGAUAUAGACACCAAAAGUGAGUGGGAAGUUGGAUGAUUGGGAAGCUUUUAAAAUCCAACAAAAGGUCCCCCAGCCUCCCAGACAACCAUAUCUGCACCAGGUGUGUCGAGCUGCAGUUCCUGAGGGUCCAGGUUAGGGAACUGGAGAUGCAGCUCGAUGACCUUCACCUGGUCAGGGAAAGUAAGGAGGUGAUAGAAAGUUAUAGGCAGGUGGUCACACUGGGGCCAUGGGAGACAGACAAGUGGGAUCAGACAGUCAGGAGGGGAAAGUGGAAGAGUCAGGUACUAGAGAGUACCCCUGUGGCUGUACCCCUUGACAAUAAGUAUUCCUGUUUGAGUACUGUUGGGGGGAGGGAACAGCCUACCUGGGGGAAGCGACAGUGGCCAUGCCUCUGGCAUAGAGUCUGGCCCUGUGGCUCAGAAGGGUAGGGAAGGGAAGAGGAAGGCAGUAGUGAUAGGGGACUCUUUAGUUAGGGGUUCAGACAGGCGAUUCUGUGAUACAGGAAAGAAACUCGGAUGGUAGUUUGCCUCCAAGGUGCCAGGAUCCGGAAUGUUUCAGAUUGCAUUCAAGAUAUCCUGCGGUGGGAGGGAGAACAGCCAGAAGUCGUGGUACGUAUUGGUACCAAUGACAUAGGUAGGAAAAGGGAAGAGUUCCUGAAAAAAGACUACAGGGAGUUAGGAAGGAAGUUGAGAAGCAGGACUGCAAAGGUAGUAAUCUCAGGAUUACUGCCUGUGCCAUGCGACAGUGAGAAUCGGAAAAGGAUGAGGUGGAGGAUAAAUGUGUGGCUGAGGGAUUGGAGCAGGGGGCAGGGAUUCAGAUUUCUGGAUCAUUGGGACCUCUUUUGGGAUAAGUGUGGCCUAUAAAAAACACCCAGUAGAGUUAUUACCCCCUUCCUGCUUCUGAUUUCUACCCACAAUGACUCAGUAACCACAUAACAACUAUAGCACAGAAACAGGCCAUUUUGGCCCUUCUAGUCCAUGCCGAACACUUACUCUCACCUAGUCCCACUGACCUGCACUCAGCCCAUAACCCUCCAUUCCUUUCCUGUCCAUAUACCUAUCCAAUUUUUUUUUUAAAUGACAAAAUCGAACCUACCUCUACCACUUCUACUGGAAGCUCGUUCCACACAGCUACCACUUUCUGAGUAAAGAAGUUCCCCCUCGUGUUACCCCUAAACUUUUGCCCCUUAACUCUCAACUCAUGUCCUCUUGUUUGAAUCUCCCCUACUCUCAAUGGAAAAAGCCUAUCCACGUCAGAUCUAUCUAUCCCCCUCAUAAUUUUAAAUACCUCUAUCAAGUCCUCCCUCAACCUUCUACACUCCGAAGAAUACAGACCUAACUUGUUCAACCUUUCUUUGUAACUUAGGUGCUGAAACCCGGGUAACAUUCUAGUAAAUCUCCUCUGUGCUCUAUUUUGUUGACAUCUUUCCUAUAAUUCGGUGAUUGAUCAUAGAUAAAGGUGACAAUCAACAACAGACCCAGCAUUGAACCCUGCAGCACUUCAUUAGUCACAGAACUCCAGUCAGAAAGAAAACCAUAGAACAUAGAACAUAGAAACCUACAGCACAUUACAGACCCUUUGGCCCACAAUGUUAUGCUGACCAUGUAACCUACUCUAGAAACUGCAUAGAAUUUUCCCACUGCAUAGCCAUUCUAUUUUUCUAAGGUCCAUGUACCCAUCUUAAAAGACCCUAUUGUAUGCACCUCUACCAUUGUUGCUGGAAUGCAUUCUGUUCACCACUGUUCACUCACUGUGUGAAUAACUUACCUCUGACAUCCCCUCUAUACCUACUUCCAAGCACCCUCCUUUUAGUCAUAACCCAGGUAACAUUCUAGUAAAUCUCCUCUGUACUCUCUCUAUUUUGUUGACAUCUUUCCUAUAAUUCGGUGACCAGAACUGUAACAGUAGAUAAUCCCUCCAUGACUUCCUCCUUUUCUGCAGCUGUGGUACUAUGCCUGAUUAGCAAUGUCACUCUCCCACCUUUUUUGCCUCCUUCCUCUUCCUUUUUGAAACAUCUAAAGCCUGGCACACUCAACAGCCAUUCCUGCCCACGAGUCAUCCAAGUCUCUGUAAUGGCCAUAAACAGAGAAUUGUAGGUAUAGGAUUUAAUGAACAUUUUGAAAAUCAUGAACGAAAUAGGGACCUUGUGCUAGGCAACUCGUAAAUUUUGAGUUUUUCAAGGUGUAAAGGUGAAUGAUGAAGCAAGAGCAAAGGAAGUUGUCUCAAUGGAUUUUAAACAACUUUAAAUGUACAGCUUUAUAAAAGUCUUCUUAUGCUAAACCUAGAAUAUUGUAUUAAUUUCUGAUCGCCCCAUUAUAGAAAGGAUUUGCAGAAGGUGCAGAAGAGGUUUACAGAAUGCUGCCUGAUUCAGAGCUCUCUCUAUGAUGAGAGCUCGUAUAAAUUUAGUUAGGUGGAAAUUUGUAAGAUCUUGAGUGCAUUUUUUCAUAGUCAAAAUGUCUAAUACUAGAUGGUAUGCAAUUAAAUUGAGAAGAGGAAAACUCAAAGGUGAGAGGGGACAGUUUUUUUCUCCAUACAGAGCAUGAUUGGUGCCUGGAAUGCACUGACGGGGUGGUUGCUGCAAAAUGAUAGAGGCACUUAGUUGGCUUUUAGAUAGACACAUAAAUAUGUAGAGAAUUGAGGGAUAUGGAGCAUUUUGUCGGCAGAACAGAUUAGUUGUCUUUUAUUUACUACGUUAAUUCGUUUGGAACAACAUUAUGGGCUGAUGAGCUUGUUUCUGUGCUAUUCUAUGUUCUACAUCAAUUUUAGCUAAUCUGUCCCCUUUAUACAUCUACAGAAACUCUUAAGGCCAGUUUCUACAUUUUGCUCUAUUUGCUCACUCAUUUUAUUUUCCCUCAUCUUUCAAGCUUUGAGUCAUUGUAGAAAAUAGGCACAGAACUAUAAAAGGUCAGACAUGAACAUUGCAGGGUAAAGCAGUACGAGUGGCUGAUAUCUUAUUCUUGCUUCUAAUCUUUGUUAUUUUUUCACAGGGCACUGGCAUGAUGGCACUAUCAGGGUUACAAGAGAAAAAAUUAACAAAUAGAUUAAACAGUGCUGUAACAUGUACUGUAGUUUAAGGGCAUGAAGACAAUGGUCUGUUUGCUUUGCUGUUUGGGCGUUGCAUUGCACUAACGGAAAGUAUUAAACAUACAUCUGGUACAAUACAAACAGGAAUUACGUUUCUGAAGGGAUUAUUCCAUGGAGCCGGGAAUCUUACUGGAAAACAAAGAAAAACGUGCGAAAAAUCUGCCUGACAAACUCAGCACAGGCCCUUCGUAGAAUCUCCACCUUGGUACUGUAUCAAAGGAAUUUAACUACUAUUGAGCGUGGCUUAUCUUCUGUCUCGGGAAGGCUGCGGGAUGAUUGCACGAUGUGCCCUCUCAGUUUCCAGCUCCAUAGUCAGAGGACUUCCCAGCGUGUCCCGAAGCAACUUUCGUACAAACUCCAUCAUAGACAAACCCUCCGCUCCUUUGGGAACGUUGUAUAUCCUGAUAUUUUUCUGCCAUGAUCUUCCCUCCAGGUGAAAUGACAGCCCUGGAAUUAAUCUUGUCAAUGGCAUAGACCUUUCCCUGGGCAGAGGCCACGGUCUGGGCAUGCAGGAAGAACAUACAAAGGUCAUCUAUAGAAGAAGAGACCUGUUGAGGGGGGAGAGGGCAAAGGGAAACUGUCCUUCCCUGGCAUUAGUCUCCCUUCUUAGCAGAAGAAUGAAGGCCAAGCAGAAUACUGGAAGAGGAUUGUAGGAAGGAUGAUCCAUACCAAUGAUGUGCUGAUCCCAAACAUACAGCACGGUUUCCAUGUUCAGGUAUCCUAUAAAUAUAGGGGAGUAAUAUGUCUAUGUCUACGAGAAGUGGAAAGAAUCUGCAUGAACCUUCUGAUAAAGGUAAUGGAAAAGGAACGAUGCCUAAGGAAAGAUCUGAUGAAAUGCCAUCAUGGGCUGAAGAUAUCGUUUGGACUCUGAAUUCAAUUCAAGAUCAGAACAGGGCAAUUAAAGAUCAACUGGAAAAGAAUAAUAAUGAAAUGUACUUUUUUUUGGGAAAACUUAAGAUGUGGAAACUCAAGUUACUAAACAUGAAGAGGAAUUGGAGUUAACUAAGCAAAAAUUGUCUGAAACUACAACCGGUUUGGAAAAAUAUCAAAAUAAGAUUAUAGAUCCGGAAACUAGGUCUCACUGAAACAAUAUAUGAAUUGUUGGAUUGCAAGAAGGAACUGAAAAUGGAGACUUAACGGUUUACUUUGGUAAGCUCUUUCAAACUCUAUUUCCGACUAUUUUAUCACAGCUGCCUGCUAUUGAAAGAAGGUUGUCUACUUCAAAAUUUAAAGACUCCACCAGACCAAGAUUUAUUUUGGUUUGUUUUCAUCACUUUAAAAUUAAAGCUCAAAUAAUGCGACAGGCAAGAAAACAAAGAGUUUUCAAAUUCAACAAGUCUGAGCUCCGUUUUUAUGAAGAUUAUCCGAAAGAAGUAAUGGAACAAAGAUCAAGAUUUGCUUUGGUAAUGGAACAAGCAUAUGAUAAGAAACUAUUUCCCUCUUUGAGUUACCCAACAAGAAUGAAAGUCUUUCCUCCUAAUUCUUUUCCAUGUACUUUCUUCGACCCAAAAGCCGCACUGGAUUUUGUUCAGGCUAUACCUGUCACUGUCGCUGAUGUUACUACCAAAAAAACUAUCUGAAAAGCUGUUUGAUUAUCUGUAUAUUAUUCACAUUUCGAAAAGAAGAUAUAUGAAGGCUAUUUGGAUAUUUCAUUGAGAGAUUAAUAAAAGAAGAUAAGAAAACCUGCUCAUCAUUACAUCCUACUGGAUUAUUUUUGGGAAGAAGAUUUACUGUUCAAUUUUGACUGUUUAAAUGGCUAAUUAGAUAUUUGACUGAGAAAAGAGGAUAAAAGGAUUUGUUCCUUUUAUCUAAUAUUUGGUUUGAUGUUUCUUUUUGUUGUUUCUUAAUUUACUAAUUUUUAGUUUUUUUUCCUAAUAAUAGGGUUUCUUUUUAUAUAUAUCUGGGAGGGUAUAGUUACUUAUGAUAUUCCUAAUUAAUAUUUUUGUAAAUUUAGUUCAGUUAAAUAUACUAUUAACCUUUUUUAUCUGUUUUAUUACAGCAUCCUAUAACCAAAUUUAGAGUUUUCUUUGAGAUUUAAAACUAAACUUAAGAUGGCACUGGUUUUUCUCUUUAAGAGAUUAUAUUAUUUUGGUUCUUUUUUUUGUUUAAUAUAUGAUGGAAUGUAAACGUUCCCCUUUGUUGAAAUGUUACUGUCUUUCUUGCAAGGUCAUUUUAUUUUUUUGUGUACUGGCUGGGCGGAGGGAGAGACAAGACUGACAGAGUGGCCCAUGGCUUUGUAUUCUAUCUUAGUUUGUUUGCCUUUUUUUCCAGGCUUUUGGGAGGGUGGGUGGGUUUAGAGUUAGGAGCUUUUGCCCAUUGGGUGGUUCCGGAGCAUGCGUGUUUUUUAUAUGGUUGUAUUCUUCAUCACUGCCAUCUUUGAUAAUCCCAUAUUGGUAUGUGUUCUGCGCAUGUAUAAAGUAAAUUAGAAUAAAAUUAUAGUAUGGCAAUUAAACGGCUUAAUGUAAUAAGUUGGAAUGUACGUGGUUGGAAUCAUCCUAUUAAACGAGAAAAGACUUUUAAAAUUAUUAAUCAAUUCCAACCUAAUUUUUGCUCAGGAGACACAUAUCAGGGCGGGAGAUCAAAACAGAUCAAAAAAGAUCAAAAUCUUUUUGGAUGGUGGAAUGGAUUAGAGCUCCAUGCUACUUCUCAGAGUCAAACUAAAGGUGUAUCUAUCUUUAUUAAAUCUAAUAUAUUUACUCAAGAGGAUAUUGAAUCAGAUUCUAAUGGUAGAUUUUUAAUUGUUAAAGGAGUGAUUUGUAAUAGAAAGGUUGUUUUGGUCAUUUUGUAUGGUCCUAAUUUAGAUGAUCCUUCUUUUUUUAAAGAAGUAUUUGCUUUAUUGCCAGAUUUAAAUGAAUAUAUGUUGAUAAUGGGUGGGGAUUUUAACUGUUGUUUAAAUCCCAUGAUUGACAAGAGCUCAACUGAUCAGCGACUUCCAAAUCAUUCUGCAUCAGUUAUUAACUCCUUCUUGACCGAUUUUGGGUUGAUUUAAUUAUGGAGGCAUUUGCACCCUGAUAACAGAAAAUAUUCAUUUUUUUCACAUGUUUAUAAAAACAUUUGGGGAUUGAUUAUAUUAUAAUUGAUCCCUGCCUUUUGCCUAAUGUUAAAAACUGUGAAUAUGACACUAUUGCUAUAUUUGAUCAUGCGCCUUUGAGUUCUUCCUUUGAAUUUGAUUAUGUCAUUUUUGCCCGUCCACCAUGGCACAUGUCUCAGACUUUAUUGGAAAACUCUGAUUUUAUCAGUUUUAUUCAAAGCCAGAUAAAAUAAAUUUUUCUUUUUAAUGAUAUAGGAGGUAUGUCCAAAUUAAUUAUAUGGAAUACAUUCAAAGCAUUUUAUGUAGUCAAAUUAUUUCUUAUUCAGCUAAACUUAAAAAACAGACUAAAGUAGAAUUAGAUAAAAUUUCAAAACAAAUUAAAGAUUUAGAUAAUACCUAUGUGACUUCCCGUAAUAUUGACUUAUUUAAAAAAAGGGUGGAACUUCAAUCACAAUAUAACCUAUUAUUAACAUCCAAUUGAAGGCUGUCUACUUAAGUUAAAGAGCCAAUUUUAUAUGUUUGGAGAUAAAAAUAAUAAACUACUUGCAUCUCAAUUAAAAUCGGCUGGAGCCAAAAGGCAAAUUUUGAAAAUUCGUAGAAAGGAUGGUACCCUGGCUCGGGAGUAUGAAGAAAUUAAUAAGAUUUUUCAAGAUUUUUAGAUGGAACUUUAUAAAUCUCAAUGUCCAGUAGAUUCUUCUGAAAUGAAUGCCUUUUAAUGAAAGAUUGCUUUUCCUAAAAUUUCUGCUGAGGACCAAAAAUCUCUUGAUGCCCAAAUUACUGAAUCCAAAAUUCAAAAAGCUAUUUUUUCAAUACAAUCUGGUAAGGCCCAGGGACUUGAUGAUUAUCCUGUAGAAUUUUAUAAAAAUUUGGAAAAUUGCUUUCUCCAUAUAUGUUGGAGAUUGGUUUAAAGAUUCUUUUGUGAAAAGUGAUUUAUCCUCUACUUUUUAUGAGGCUUCUAUUUCUUUAAUUCUCAAAAAGGAUAAAGAUCCUUCUGAUUGUGCCUCAUACAGACCUAUUUCAUUAUUGAAUGUUGAUGCUAAGAUUCUCUCAAAGAUAAUGGCCAAUCGGUAGGAGAGUUUAUUGGGUGAAAUCAUUUUUAAAAAUCAAACAUACUUUAUAAAGGGUUGUUAUUCUUUUUCAAAUGUUUGGAAACUAUUAUAUAUUCGCCCUCUUCUAAAACUCCACAAUGCGUUGUAUCUUUGGAUGCUGAAAAAGCAUUUGAUGGAGUCGAAUGGAAAUAUUUAAUGUUUUAAAAAAAUUUGGUUUUGGUAUUCAUUUUCAUAAUUGGAUUAAAAUAAUAUAUAAAGCUCCUAUUGCUACUGUUGUCACUAAUAAUUGUAGGUCUCCUUUUAUUCAGCUAUCACGGGGGACGACAAGGUUGUCCAUUAAGUCCUUUGUUAUUUAACUUAAUAUUAGAACCCCUGGCUAUUGCUCUUCAUGAAGCCAAAAAUAUUCAUGGGAUUUUUCUGAAUGAGACCAUGCACAAGAUCUCUCUUUAUGCUGAUGAUUUAUUAGUAUAUAUAUCUAAGCCUGAAGAAUUUAUUCCUGCUUUGCUAAAAUUAUUUGACAAAUUUGCAGAUUUUUCAGGAUAUAAAAUAAAUUUUAGUAAAAGUGAAUUACUCCCUUUAAAUGAACCUAUCUCUAUAUAUGAUAAUAUUCCUUUUAAAGUUACGGAUUCUUUUAAAUAUUUAGAUGUCAUAAUUACUAAAAAAUAUAAGGAUCUUUAUAAAGCCAAUUUUCCUCCUUUAGUGGACUCUUUGAAGUACUCAUUUAGUAGAUGGAGCCCACUUACAUUUUCACUUGUUGGUCAUAUUCACGUAGUUAAAAUGAUGAUUUUACCAAACUUUUUAUAUUUAUUUCAGAAUAUUCCUGUUUUUUGACUAAUAAGUUUUUUGAUUGGAUUAAUUCUAUUAUUCUAUCUUUUAUUUGGGAUAAUAAAAGACCAAGAAUUAGUAAAUGUCAUUUGCAAAAGUUGAAAAAGGAUGGAGGUCUCGCUUUGCCUAAUCUAAGAAUGUAUUAUUGGGCUGUCAAUUUGCAAUAUGUGUCCUUUUGGUUAUAUUGGGGUGAUAGGAAUGAUCAGCCAAUUUGGGUAGACCUGGAACUGAGAGCUGUGAAACUGUUUUAUUUAAUUUUGUUAUAAGGAGUUGCUCUACCUAUACAAUUAGCUAAAGUUGCUAAUUUAAACCUAUAUCCUGUAGUUAAGCACUCUACAAAUUUGGCUCCAGUUCCGCAAUUUUUUUAAUCUUAAAAAUUUUAAACUUUAUAGUAUAAUUUAUCAUAAUUACUUUUUUAAACCUUCCUGGAGUGAUCCAAUUUUUUUACUUUGGAAAAAUAAAGGUAUAAAUUCUUUUUUGGAUUUACUUAAAGGCAGGUUGAUGUCUUUUCAACAAUUAGUCGAUAAAUAUUUUCUCUCAUAUUCGCACUUUUUACAAUAACUUCAAAGACAUUUUUAACAAAUAUAUUUAAGUAAUUUUCCUUACAUAUUGGAGGCUGACUUGUUAGAUACUAUUAUGAAUAUGAACCCUUCAAUAAAAGAUUCUAUUGGAAGAAUUCAUAAUUUAUUAUUACAAUGGGAUAAGCGUCCUUUACUUAAGAUUAAACAGGAUUGGGAGAAGAAACUCAAUUUGAUUUUUAUAUGGGAGGAUUGAAUGCAGAUUCUGAAGCUGGUUAACUUUUCUUCGAUCUGCGCUAGUCAUUCACUGAUUUAAUUUAAAAUUGCACAUCAUUACCAUUUGACGAAGGAGAGACUUUCUAAAAUAUUUCCCAAUGUUGAAAAAUAUUGUGAUAGAUGUAAAACUGAGAUAACUAUACUGACACAUAUAUUCUGGUCAGGUUCCAUAUUAAAACAGUUUUGGAAGUCAGUCUUUUUGACAAUUUCUAAAGCACUCAGAAUCAAUUUACAACCUAAUAAAUUGACUGUGCUUUUUGGAAUAAUUCCUCAAAAUAUCCAUGGUAUUUCUGUGACUGACCAACAUGUUAUUAUAUUUGUUACAGUGAUACCUAGGAGGGCCAUCUUGUUGAAAUGAAAGGAUAUAUCAGCUCCUACUUUGUCACAAUGGUUCUCUCAAGUGAUGCUGUGUCUUAGCUUGGAGAAAAUUAGAAGUCAAACCUUUGAACCUUUAUUUGAUUUUGAGAAGAGAUGGGGCUCAUUUGCUCAUUAUUAUCAUUUCAGUUAACUGAUAGAUUUCCUCCACAAUCUAAGUGUAAAUUUUGUAUUUCUUGAUAUAUCUUUCUUUCUUGUUGGCAGCUUGAUGCUUAUUUUUAGAAGCUUUUUGUAUGACAUAUGGCUCCGGGGUUGUACCCCCCAAUAGGUUUCUUUUUUUUUUUCUGUCACUUUUCUUGCUUAGUAGGGUUUUUUUUUUAUUCACAAAAAAUUUCUAUCUUUAAGAUAAUUUCUUUUUUCUUGAGGCAUUGUAAGUGUGGUUACUUCGAUGUACCUGUGUUAUUUUUGAAUAAUAAUA